rnacentral:tRNA from 2 species
AAGGAUUUAGGUUAAAUUAAACCCGUGACCUUCAAAGCCACUAAUAGAUAGAAAUUCUAAGCCUUA